GACGAACGCUGGCGGCGUGCUUAACACAUGCAAGUCGAACGGAAAGGCCCUGCUUGCAGGGUACUCGAGUGGCGAACGGGUGAGUAACACGUGGGUGAUCUGCCCUGCACUUCGGGAUAAGCUUGGGAAACUGGGUCUAAUACCGGAUAGGAACCAUCUUUAGUGUGGUGGUUGGAAAGUUUUUUCGGUGUAGGAUGAGCUCGCGGCCUAUCAGCUUGUUGGUGGGGUAAUGGCCUACCAAGGCGGCGACGGGUAGCCGGCCUGAGAGGGUGUACGGCCACUUUGGGCCUGAGAGAGGCCCCGGCCUCACGGGGGGGGCGGCGGGGGGGAUAUUGACCAAAGGGGCCCAGGCCGGUACCACAGGCGCCGGGGGGGGGUUGAAGGCCUGGGGUUUUAAACCUCCUUCCCAUGGGAAGAAAGUUUUUUGUCAGGUAACCUAGAAGAGAAGCCCCGCCAACCUAGGGC
rnacentral:rRNA from 1 species